GUACCGCAUACAACCUCCAAGGUCAUGUGGCCAGCAUGACUGCAUGGAUCACUGUUACCUUCCCGCCAGAGUGCACCUUGAAAAUGCUACACAGAAGUUUAGAAGACCCUGAUGGAGUGAACUGCAAUAUUUCCUUGUGAAUUUACUAAUCCAAUCAUAGAUGGUAUAUUUUGGAUCUAAGCCAUUAAUGCUCAUGGCAAGAUAUCUAAAACAGCUUCAGGUUCUAAAGCAAAGGAGAAAACUUCAGCCAAUAAGAUGGGGAUCUUGCUUAACAAAGCAUCCAGAUAAUACAUUCUUAACUGGUUCUAAAAAAUAAAUAAAAUAAAAAAUGGUUCUAAAAAGA